rnacentral:lncRNA from 1 species
UGGCCAGAAGGCUCUUCUCACUGGCUGAUUAGUCGUGAGCCUGGCGCGAAGAAGCGAGAAUGGCACUGAAAAUCAAGUUGCUUUCAAUCGCUACUGGGACGUUUUACUAUUAAACAAUUUUGGAUCGCAAAUAAGCUUAGUUUAACUUGGAACCUGCAAAUUUUAAUGAGUAUCAUGAUGAAUAAAAUGAAGGCGAGCAGUGUUGUGAUGCACAAUGUCUUUGAUGAUGCAGUCAACAGAAGCUGGCAUGCUGAGCUGAGCACCCAAAUGUCUUUGGAAUCUUGCAAAGUGGAGCCUAAUGCUACAGAGGCCAGUGGCUCAUCUCCUCCCCAGGAAACGGUGGCAGUUUACAUCAAGGAGGAGCCUCAAGAUGGAGGAGAGGACAUAGCUGUGAAGGAGGAACCAAUUGACAGUAGUGAAA